GGGAUUUUUCGUAUUUAGUCACGCCGGUCACGUGAUAUGAGCAAAAUGUUCCACAGGGGUACUUCCGGUUAAUUUUGUUUACACUGGUAACAAAAUUGUUUUUGACAAAAUAUAGAUUUUGCGGCACAAACUGUCGCAAAUCAGAUAAAGGAUAGCAAGGGAUAUAUAUUUACUUGGGAAGAUGUCAAGUUUACCUUUUCCCAAACCCGGGAAAAGCGUCCACGCAGAGGAAACGAUGGCGUCAUUUGUGUAGAAAACCACGAGCAGCCGAAAUUGAGUGCGAUUAUUACAUUCCAUGAAAGCUGAACCAACAAAGAAACAUCAUUGUUCUAGCCAGUUUGCUUAUAUUAACUUUUAGGAAAACCAAGAGGUUGAUAACAAUGGCUGAUCUGCAUAUAAUGACUGCUAGUUAUUGGCUGGUAUGCAGUGAAAGGGAGCUAAAAAGGAGUAAAAAGUUCAUAUAAGCCAGGUAGUGUGGAUUAAAUAAACCAGUGUUAAGGAAUAUCCAGUAAUGGCAUGACAUCAUGAGAGUUUGGCAUACCGACAUUCAGAUGAUUAAUGAUGAAACUGAAGACCUCAAGUGAAAGGCAUGGAAAAUGAUCCUGUUCCCAUAAUGAUAUACCUGAAAAAGAGGAGGGAUGCCACAAUAUUGAUAAUAGGCUUUUGUCAAUUUGAGAAGCAAAGAUGUAUAAAAAAAAAAAAAAAAUAAUGCUGAAAUUAUAAUUCAUGUAUUUGUUAAAAAUACUGUUCACUGCACAUACAUGUAUAUUUUUUUUUAACUUAUUUCGAAAUACAUGAAGUAAUUCAUAUUAAAACUGUGACUGUAUGAGUUUUCAUGAUUUUUAUCAAUAAAGCUUACCAUAUUCAUUGUACAUA